GAUGAACGCUGGCGGCGUGCCUAAUACAUGCAAGUCGAGCGAACAGACGAGGAGCUUGCUCCUCUGACGUUAGCGGCGGACGGGUGAGUAACACGUGGAUAACCUACCUAUAAGACUGGGAUAACUUCGGGAAACCGGAGCUAAUACCGGAUAAUAUAUUGAACCGCAUGGUUCAAUAGUGAAAGCCGGUUUUGCUGUCACUUCUAGCUGGAUCCGCGCCGCAUUAGCUAGUUGGUAAGGUAACGGCUUACCAAGGCAACGAUGCGUAGCCGACCUGAGAGGGGGAUCGGCCACACUGGAACGGAGACACGGUCCAGACUCCUACGGGAGGCAGCAGUAGGGAAUCUUCCGCAAUGGGCGAAAGCCUGACGGAGCAACGCCGCGUGAGGGAUGAAGGUCUUCGGAUCGUAAAACUCUGUUAUUAGGGAAGAACAAAUGUGUAAGUAACUAUGCACGUCUUGACGGUACCUAAUCAGAAAGCCACGGCUAACUACGUG
rnacentral:rRNA from 1 species